CAAGGACGAAAGUUAGAGGAUCGAAGGCGAUCAGAUACCGCCCUAGUUCUGACCGUAAACGAUGCCAACUCGCGAUCCGCCGGCGGAGCAUUUCGCCCUGGUGGGGAGCGUCCCGGAAACGAAAGUCUUCCGGUUCCGGGGGAAGUAUGGUUGCAAAGCUGAAACUUAAAGGAAUUGACGGAAGGGCACCACCAGGAGUGGAGCCUGCGGCUUAAUUUGACUCAACGCGAGGAACCUCACCCGGCCCGGACACCGUAAGGAUUGACCGAUCGACAGCUCAUUCAUGAUUCGGUGGUUGGUGGUGCAUGGCCGUUCUUAGUUCGUGGAUUUGAUCUGUCUGCUUUAUUGCGAUAACCGAGCGAGACCCACGCCUGCUAAGUAGUCCGUGCAUUGCCAUUGUGCACGCCGACUUCUUAGAGGGAUUCGCGGUGUUCAGCCGUUUGAAAGUGGGCAAUAACAGGUCUGUGAUGCCCUUAGAUGUCCGGGGCUGCACGCGGGCUACACUGGCAAAACCAGCGUGCCUGUCCUGCCUCGAAGGAGGUGGGUAAACCCGGCAAAAUUUGCCGUGAUUGGGAUCGGAGAUUGCAAUUAUUUUCCGUGAACGAGGAAUUCCAAGUAAGUGCGAGUCAUCAGCUCGCGUUGAUUACGUCCCUGCCCUUUGUACACACCGCCCGUCGCUGCCCGGGACUGAGCCGAUUCGAGAAAUCCGGGGAUCGCCGGUCUGAUGUCUUCGGGCGUCUCUCUGGUGAGAACCGGCUUAAUCGCAUCAGUUUGAACCGGGCAAAAGUCGUAACAAGGUUGCUGUAGGUGAACCUGCA
rnacentral:rRNA from 1 species